AGCUCCAAUAGCGUAUAUUAAAGUUGUUGCGGUUAAAAGCUCGUAGUUGGAUUUCUGUCGGUGAGCAGCAGUCCGCCCUCAGUGGUUGGUACUUGUUGCGCCACCGGCAUCUUCCAGGGGAACGUAUCUGCUCUUCGUUGAGUGGUGCAUAAUCCUGGACUUUUACUUUGAGGAAAUAGGAGUGUUUCAAGCAGGCAUGCGCCGUGAACAUGUUAGCAUGGAAUAAUAGCAUCGGACCUCGUUCCAAAGCUGUUGGUUUCUUGGACCGAGGUAAAGGUGAAUAGGGAUUGUUGGGGGCAUUCGUAUUUAACUGUCAGAGGUGAAAUUCUUGGAUUUGUUGAAGACGGACUACUGCGAAAGCAUCUGCCAAAGAUGUUCUCAUUGAUCAAGAACGAAAGUUCGAACG
rnacentral:rRNA from 1 species